AGCAGCCGCGGUAAUUCCAGCUCCAAUAGCGUAUAUUAAAGUUGUUGCAGUUAAAAAGCUCGUAGUUGAACCUUAGGCCCGUGCGGGUGGUCCGUCCUCAGGGCGAGCACUGCCUCGUUGCGGGUCUCACCUUCUGGCGAGCGUGGAUGCCAUUUAUUUGGUAUCUGCGGGAACCAGGACCUUUACCUUGAAAAAUUAGAGUGCUCAAAGCGGGCUCUUGCGCUUGAAUACAUUAGCAUGGAAUAAUGAAAUAGGACGAUGGUUCUAUUUUGUUGGUUUCUGGGACCGUCGUAAUGAUUAAUAGGGAUAGUUGGGGGCAUUCGUAUUCAAUUGUCAGAGGUGAAAUUCUUGGAUUUAUUGAAGACGGACUACUGCGAAAGCAUUUGCCAAGGAUGUUUUCAUUAAUCAAGAACGAAAGUUGGGGGAUCGAAGACGAUCAGAUACCGUCGU
rnacentral:rRNA from 1 species